AUCUAGUAGGUUUGAUGAAAACACCUGUUCUCAUCCAUUCACUGAAGUUUAGCAAUGUCAAGCCCGAUCAGUACUUGGGAGGGUGACCACCUGGGAACAUCGAGUUCUGUAGACU